rnacentral:rRNA from 1 species
UACGUAGGGUGCAAGCGUUAAUCGGAAUUACUGGGCGUAAAGCGUGCGCAGGCGGUUUUGUAAGACCGGGGUGAAAUCCCCGGGCUUAAACUGGGAACUGCAUUUGUGACUGCAUAGCUAGAGUACGGUAGAGGGGGAUGGAAUUCCGCGUGUAGCAGUGAAAUGCGUAGAUAUGCGGAGGAACACCGAUGGCGAAGGCAAUCCCCUGGACCUGUACUGACGCUCAUGCACGAAAGCGUGGGGAGCAAACAGG